UAAAAUACCACAAACUAGAUAGUAUAAAAAGCACAAUUAUCAGUUCUGGGUUGGGAAAUCCAAUAUCAAGGUGCUUGCAGAUUAAGUAUGUGGUAACUUUGCUUAACAGUUUCCUCUGACAUCAAAACAUUCCAUCCUGGAGGGAAGAUCCUUAAAUGUGAAGAGCUAAGCUGUAAAGAAGACUCUAAGACAGUACCAUCUUGCCUGGAAGAAUCGGAAACCACCUGAGCUGCCUAGAAGAGGUUUAGAGCAACUGCAAUAACUAGGAGGGACAAUCUCCAACCUGUUUUGCUGCCAGCACUCCCCCCCAAAGUACUGGGGUCACGUGGUUGGGCCAGCCACGCCAAGCUUCUGUUCCUGCACCUUGCAGUAGCCCCACAAACUACAGUCCAAGCCUUUAAAAAUAAGUGCUUUCAGG
ensembl:lncRNA